rnacentral:rRNA from 1 species
UACGAAGGGGGCUAGCGUUGUUCGGAAUUACUGGGCGUAAAGCGCGCGCAGGCGGUUUUCCAAGUCAGUGGUGAAAGCCCGGAGCUCAACUCCGGAACUGCCAUUGAAACUGGCGAACUUGAGUACGAGAGAGGUGAGUGGAAUUCCCAGUGUAGAGGUGAAAUUCGUAGAUAUUGGGAAGAACACCGGUGGCGAAGGCGGCUCACUGGCUCAUUACUGACGCUCAUGCGCGACAGCGUGGGGAUCAAACAGG